AAAGCGAAUCUGCGGUUUCCGGUCGAUCAGAUCAGAGGUGGCGGAAGUCUAUCCUGGCGCGGGCGCGCAGGAGGCGGUGCGGUGCGACGGGCUGGCGAGGGGGGCCUCCUGGCCCUGGCCUGGCCUAGGUAAGGUAACGGGACCGGCUAUAUGGAUGCAGAGCGGGGCAGGGGCCAGGGCCGGGGCGCCCACAUCGGAGGGACAGGACGAGACGAGACUAGAGGUUCUCGCCAUCCUGUCGAUCGAUCAGUUUGCCCAACGGCUUCGUGAUCAACUCUUCACAGAAGGUUUCGUAUGGAUGCCGGGCUAACCUCUACAGCGAGCCAUAUCGCCGAGGCAACUGUCAAUGGAAGUCGGUUCCCGGUCACAGUCCUUUGAAGCGAGGGCUGCCCUCGACGCAGCUCUUGGACACCACCACCACCGCCUCGAGCGAGCCUGUCGCAGGGCGCUGGAAGCGGUGUGCAUGUUGUCAACGACGAUGUCCAGGUCUUUGACCCGUGAUGCCUCGACCACCGCCCCCGCUACAUUACGUGCACUUGUGAGGCCGUCGGCAUGGCACCUCCUCACCCCGCCACCUCCCGCCACCUCCCGC